UGCUUCUGCGUCCGGUUGCUGCGCAGCUCCUGCGGUCCUUUAGCCAAGAUGCCUGAGGAAACCCAGACCCAAGACCAGCCAAUGGAGGAGGAGGAGAUUGAGACGUUUGCCUUUCAGGCAGAAAUUGCCCAGUUGAUGUCAUUGAUCAUCAAUACUUUCUACUCGAAUAAAGAGAUCUUUCUGAGGGAGCUUAUUUCAAAUUCAUCAGAUGCUCUGGACAAAAUCAGAUAUGAAAGCUUGACAGAUCCCAGUAAACUAGACUCCGGGAAAGAGCUGCACAUAAACCUCAUUCCAAACAAACAGGAUCGAACCCUCACUAUUGUGGAUACUGGAAUAGGAAUGACCAAGGCUGAUCUGAUCAAUAACCUUGGUACUAUUGCCAAAUCUGGUACCAAAGCAUUCAUGGAAGCUUUGCAGGCUGGUGCAGAUAUCUCUAUGAUCGGCCAGUUCGGUGUUGGCUUUUACUCAGCGUAUUUGGUUGCCGAGAAAGUGAUCGUGAUCACCAAACAUAACGAUGACGAGCAGUAUGCCUGGGAGUCUUCUGCAGGAGGUUCAUUCACAGUCAGGACUGACACAGGGGAACCUAUGGGUCGUGGAACAAAGGUUGUUUUGCACCUGAAAGAAGACCAGACUGAAUACUUGGAGGAGAGAAGAAUAAAGGAGAUUGUGAAGAAACACUCUCAGUUUAUUGGCUACCCCAUUACUCUUUUUGUGGAGAAGGAACGUGAUAAAGAAGUCAGUGACGAUGAGGCUGAAGAAAAGGAAGACAAAGAGGAAGAGAAAGAAAAGGAAGAAAAGGAGUCUGACGACAAACCUGAGAUAGAAGAUGUUGGUUCUGAUGAAGAAGAAGAAGAAAAGAAGGAUGGUGACAAGAAGAAGAAGAAGAAGAUCAAGGAGAAGUACAUUGACCAAGAAGAACUGAAUAAGACAAAGCCUAUUUGGACCAGAAAUCCUGACGACAUUAGUAACGAAGAGUAUGGGGAAUUCUACAAGAGCCUGACUAACGAUUGGGAGGAUCACUUGGCAGUGAAGCAUUUUUCAGUUGAAGGACAGUUGGAAUUCCGAGCCCUUCUUUUUGUCCCAAGACGUGCUCCCUUUGAUCUCUUUGAAAACAGAAAGAAGAAGAACAACAUUAAGUUGUAUGUUCGCAGAGUUUUCAUCAUGGACAAUUGCGAGGAGCUAAUCCCUGAAUACCUGAAUUUCAUCAGAGGUGUUGUGGAUUCUGAGGACCUCCCUCUCAAUAUUUCCUGGGAGAUGUUGCAACAAAGCAAAAUUCUGAAAGUUAUCAGAAAGAAUUUGGUCAAAAAGUGUUUAGAACUUUUCACUGAACUGGCAGAAGAUAAAGAGAACUGCAAAAAGUUUUAUGAGCAGUUCUCUAAAAAUAUUAAGCUUGGAAUACAUGAAGACUCUCAAAAUCGGAAGAAGCUUUCCAAGCUGUUAAGAUACUACACAUCUGCUUCUGGUGAUGAGAUGGUUUCUCUCAAGGACUAUUGCACAAGGAUGAAGGAGAACCAGAAACACAUCUAUUACAUCACAGGUGAGACUAAGGACCAGGUGGCAAACUCGGCCUUCGUGGAGUGGCUGCGCAAGCACGGCCUGGAAGUGAUCUACAUGAUCGAGCCUAUUGAUGAGUACUGUGUCCAGCAAGACUUUGGUGUCAGUCACCAAAGAGGGCUUGGAACUUCCAGAAGAUGAAGAAGAGAAAAAGAAACAGGAGGAGAAAAAAACAAAGUUUGAAAACCUCUGCAAAAUCAUGAAGGACAUCCUUGAGAAAAAAGUAGAAAAGGUGGUUGUGUCAAACCAAUUGGUGACAUCCCCUUGCUGCAUUGUCACUAGCACAUAUGGCUGGACAGCAAACAUGGAAAGAAUCAUGAAGGCUCAAGCCCUAAGAGACAACUCAACAAUGGGUUACAUGGCGGCAAAGAAGCACCUGGAGAUCAACCCUGACCAUUCCAUCAUCGAGACCUUAAGGCAGAAGGCUGAAGCCGACAAGAAUGACAAGUCUGUGAAGGACCUGGUCAUCCUGCUCUAUGAGACCGCGCUCCUGUCUUCCGGCUUCAGUCUGGAAGACCCCCAGACCCACGCCAAUCGCAUCUACAGGAUGAUCAAACUCGGUCUAGGUAUUGAUGAAGAUGACCCCACUGCUGACGACAGCGAUGCUACUGUCACUGAAGAGAUGCCGCCCCUCGAAGGGGAUGAUGACACAUCACGCAUGGAAGAAGUAGACUGAGCUCUGCCUGAAGGGUGGCUUGUACACGUGUUAAAUAUUUUACCUUCAUUCCCUUCCAUAUAUUUUCAAGGAUUUUUUUAUUUUUGUGUUAGUUUGAAAACGUAUGGCAUGACAAUACGUACUUAAAAGAAAGAUAAGAUUUCUUUCAACUUUUAAGUGUCUGCUACUGUGAUACCUUAGGCACUAAAGCUGAGCUAGUUUUUCCUUUCUCGUUUCAUGUUGGGUUUUUUUAACUGAUGGAGACAUAGCGUUUUGUUGUAAAAUGUCUGACCUAAAUGUUAUGUUAACUUUGUGAUCUAGGUAGUUAUAAAGCGGAUUCCCUAGUGUACCAAAUUUUUUGUCAUUGAAGUUCUGAGCUGCACCCCUGUUGAAAAGAAUAUCGCUUAAAACAACUUGAAUCUCCUAGGACCGCUGUAACCCUUCCACCCCUGUAGUUGUUAACUGCAUGUACCCAACCCUAGAAAAUAGUAUAUUAAGCAGAACCAACUUGAUGGGAGUAACUAUCCAUAGGGUUUGUGUUCCAAAGAAAAGUGUUCUUUAGAGUCGCAGAAUUGUAAGCCUGCCUCUCAAAGGCACUUGGAAAGGAACCAGAGCAAGUUUUGUGAAUGGAAACAUUGUGCCCAGGUCACAUUUUGCUUUAAAAGGUGACAAAUACAGAUGUAUGAAAAAAAAAAA